GCCCCUCCGGAGUCUGCACACACCCCCAGUGAGCGCAUGACCUAUUGAGUGUGAGUGUCGAGUGAUUGGGAGGAUUGAGUGGAUUAAUACUCUGAGAGUAUGCAUAUGGUUGUUCACUAUGUUGUACUGCAUUGACAUGCGCACUUGACAUACAAGCAUAAAGAUGCAUUUUUCCUCAUGUUGUACGGCAUCAUUUCAUUCAUGACUUCUCAUACACAUUGACAUGCAGGCAUAGAGAUGUACUUUUCCUCAUGCCAUUUGAUAUUGAAAGAUUUACCUGUUGAAAUGUUUUGGAAGGAAAAUCACGAUUUUACAAACUUACUCAUAUUUUGGUAUUUUCGGUAAAAGAUUUGGGUUUUCACUGUUAUACUACACUUCUGCACCUUGCGUACAAAUAUUGAAUAUUGAUGUUGUUGUGAUCGACGUGAGCGGAUUUGAAGACAUACCUAUAUUCUGUUGGUAGCUGCCUCUUGUACAUGGCAGACUUAAAUUUAUAAAAAUCUGUUUAUGUACAUUUCGAACAUAUUAUGUACUUAUUUCAUAUCAACUUUAUAAAUUCUAAUCUUAGAAGCUCAUGAUUUGUACUACCAGUCCUUGGGAAUUCUUGUAUAAAAGCAGUUUUAUUAUCCUUUCUUUUCUUAAUAAAUCUUAUCUAAAUUGGAUAGUUGUUAAUUGGCUUACCUGAUGGGUUGGGUUAGGUGCCAUCACGGCUAAGUGGAUUGUGAAGUUAUUGAUACUAUGGCACGUGAGUUGUCCAUGCAGCACGUGAGUUGUCCAUGCGGAUUAUAGUGCUUGGGCUGAAGGAGCUCCUCCGGAGUCUGCACAUACCCCAAGUGAGCGCAUGUACCUAUUGAGUGCGAGUGCUGAGUGAUUGGAAGGACAGAGUGGA
rnacentral:lncRNA from 1 species